CUCGCAAAAGUCGAAUUUGGAGGUUGUGCCCUUGAGGCGUGGCUUCCGGAGCUAACGCGUUAAAUCGACCGCCUGGGGAGUACGGCCGCAAGGUUAAAACUCAAAUGAAUUGACGGGGGCCCGCACAAGCGGUGGAGCAUGUGGUUUAAUUCGAUGCAACGCGAAGAACCUUACCUGGUCUUGACAUCCACAGAACUUUCCAGAGAUGGAUUGGUGCCUUCGGGAACUGUGAGACAGGUGCUGCAUGGCUGUCGUCAGCUCGUGUUGUGAAAUGUUGGGUUAAGUCCCGCAACGAGCGCAACCCUUAUCCUUUGUUGCCAGCGGUUAGGCCGGGAACUCAAAGGAGACUGCCAGUGAUAAACUGGAGGAAGGUGGGGAUGACGUCAAGUCAUCAUGGCCCUUACGACCAGGGCUACACACGUGCUACAAUGGCGCAUACAAAGAGAAGCGACCUCGCGAGAGCAAGCGGACCUCAUAAAGUGCGUCGUAGUCCGGAUUGGAGUCUGCAACUCGACUCCAUGAAGUCGGAAUCGCUAGUAAUCGUAGAUCAGAAUGCUACGGUGAAUACGUUCCCGGGCCUUGUACACACCGCCCGUCACACCAUGGGAGUGGGUUGCAAAAGAAGUAGGUAGCUUAACCUUCGGGAGGGCGCUUACCACUUUGUGAUUCAUGACUGGGGUGAAGUCGUAACAAGGUAAACCGUAAACUGGUAA
rnacentral:rRNA from 1 species